rnacentral:sRNA from 1 species
ACUGCCACCACCCUCCUCCGUGUUCUCAUCCACUCGAACAUCUCCACCAAAUCCUUCUUCAUUCACGAGGUGUUGUUCCUAGAGCCUGUCCUUGAGACCUCCCACUUCUUAUGUGCGGCAGCCACGACGACCGCAUCUGUCGCCCAUGCCAUGGACGUUCUCGGCUUCUUAAACCGAGUGAAGAUGAUAAACAAGAGAGACAAAAGGAAGAAGAAAGGGGCAAUUUAGAAAAUAUACUGAAAGAGUAAGUAAUAGCAUAUUUCCAAUUUCAACAAAUCUAUAAUGGCACUGUUACAAUAAGAUGAAUAGUAAUAGUAUUUUUUUAAAACAGAAAAAUUUAUAAUAAUAUGAUCUGUUUAACCCAAUUUAGCACUUAGAGAUUACAACUGUGCCUAACUUAUUUAAAAAAUCAGAAAAUAAAAUAUACCCAACUUUUGUUCAGCUAUUUUAAAGAUUGAUCUGAUUUUAGAAAUAGCAACGUUCCCAACGAGGCCAUUCUAACUCCUUUAUUUAAUUUUCCCAACGCGUGAAGUACAGUGCCCCAGUUCCAGAAACAAAAAAGGCAAC